rnacentral:rRNA from 1 species
UGGGGAAUAUUGCACAAUGGAGGGAACUCUGAUGCAGCGACGCCGCGUGAACGAAGAAGGCUUUCGAGUCGUAAAGUUCUUUUAUAUGGGAAGAUAAUGACGGUACCAUAAGAAAAAGCCCCGGCUAACUACGUGCCAGCAGCCGCGGUAAUAUGUAGGGGGCUAGCGUUGUCCGGAAUCACUGGGCGUAAAGGGUUCGCAGGCGGAAAUGCAAGUCAGGUGUAAAAGGCAGUAGCUUAACUACUGUAAGCAUUUGAAACUGCAUAUCUUGAGAAGAGUAGAGGUAAGUGGAAUUUUUAGUGUAGCGGUGAAAUGCGUAGAUAUUAAAAAGAAUACCGGUGGCGAAGGCGACUUACUGGGCUCAUUCUGACGCUGAGGAACGAAAGCGUGGGUAGCAAGCAGG